rnacentral:rRNA from 1 species
UUGGAGGGCAAGUCUGGUGCCAGCAGCCGCGGUAAUUCCAGCUCCAAUAGCGUAUAUUAAAGUUGUUGCAGUUAAAAAGCUCGUAGUUGAAUUUCGGGGUUAGUAGGUUGGUCGUGCCUCAGGUAUGUACUGAUCUCACUGAUUCCUUCUUCCUGAUGAACCGUAAUGCCAUUAAUUUGGUGUUGCGGGGAAACUGGACUGUUACUUUGAAAAAAUUAGAGUGUUUAAAGCAGGCUAACGCUUGAAUACAUUAGCAUGGAAUAAUGAAAUAGGACGUUCGAUCCUAUUUUGUUGGUUUCUAGGAUUGACGUAAUGAUUAAUAGGGAUAGUUGGGGGCAUUAGUAUUCAAUUGUCAGAGGUGAAAUUCUUGGAUUUAUUGAAGACUAACUACUGCGAAAGCAUUUGCCAAGGAUGUUUUCAUUAAUCAAGAACGAAAGUUAGGGGAUCGAAGACGAUCAGAUACCGUCGUAGUCUUAACCAUAAACUAUGCCGACUAGGGAUCGGAUGAUGUUAAUUUUUUAAUGACUCAUUCGGCGCCUUACGGGAAA